AUUGAACGCUGGCGGCAUGCCUUACACAUGCAAGUCGAACGGUAACAGGUCUUCGGAUGCUCUCGAGUGGUGGCCGGGUGCGUAAUACAUAGGAACGUGUACGAUCGUGGGGGAUAACGGAGAGAAAGCUUUGCUAAUACCGCAUACGAUCUAAGGAUGAGAGCGGGGGAUCUUCGAACCUCGCGAGGACGGAGCGGCCGCUGGCAGAUUAGGUAGUUGGUGGGUUAACAGCUUACCAAGCCGACGAUCUGUAGCUGGACUGAGAGGAUGAUCAGCCACACUGGGACUGAGACACGGCCCAGACUCCUACGGGAGGCAGCAGUGGGGAAUUUUGGACAAUGGGCGCAAGCCUGAUCGAGCCAUGCCGCGUGCAGGAUGAAGGCCUUCGGGUUGUAAACUGCUGUUGUACGGAACGAAAAGGUGCCUUCUAAUAAAGGGCGCUCAUGACGGUACCGUAAGAAUAAGCACCGGCUAACUACGUG
rnacentral:rRNA from 1 species